rnacentral:rRNA from 1 species
GGGUUGUGAGGUUAAGCGACUAAGCGUACACGGUGGAUGCCCUGGCAGUCAGAGGCGAUGAAGGACGUGCUAAUCUGCGAUAAGCGUCGGUAAGGUGAUAUGAACCGUUAUAACCGGCGAUUUCCGAAUGGGGAAACCCAGUGUGUUUCGACACACUAUCAUUAACUGAAUCCAUAGGUUAAUGAGGCGAACCGGGGGAACUGAAACAUCUAAGUACCCCGAGGAAAAGAAAUCAACCGAGAUUCCCCCAGUAGCGGCGAGCGAACGGGGAGCAGCCCAGAGCCUGAAUCAGUGUGUGUGUUAGUGGAAGCGUCUGGAAAGGCGCGCGAUACAGGGUGACAGCCCCGUACACAAAAAUGCACAUACUGUGAGCUCGAUGAGUAGGGCGGGACACGUGGUAUCCUGUCUGAAUAUGGGGGGACCAUCCUCCAAGGCUAAAUACUCCUGACUGACCGAUAGUGAACCAGUACCGUGAGGGAAAGGCGAAAAGAACCCCGGCGAGGGGAGUGAAAAAGAACCUGAAACCGUGUACGUACAAGCAGUGGGAGCCUCUUUUAUGGGGUGACUGCGUACCUUUUGUAUAAUGGGUCAGCGACUUAUAUUCUGUAGCAAGGUUAACCGAAUAGGGGAGCCGAAGGGAAACCGAGUCUUAACUGGGCGUUAAGUUGCAGGGUAUAGACCCGAAACCCGGUGAUCUAGCCAUGGGCAGGUUGAAGGUUGGGUAACACUAACUGGAGGACCGAACCGACUAAUGUUGAAAAAUUAGCGGAUGACUUGUGGCUGGGGGUGAAAGGCCAAUCAAACCGGGAGAUAGCUGGUUCUCCCCGAAAGCUAUUUAGGUAGCGCCUCGUGAAUUCAUCUCCGGGGGUAGAGCACUGUUUCGGCAAGGGGGUCAUCCCGACUUACCAACCCGAUGCAAACUGCGAAUACCGGAGAAUGUUAUCACGGGAGACACACGGCGGGUGCUAACGUCCGUCGUGAAGAGGGAAACAACCCAGACCGCCAGCUAAGGUCCCAAAGUCAUGGUUAAGUGGGAAACGAUGUGGGAAGGCCCAGACAGCCAGGAUGUUGGCUUAGAAGCAGCCAUCAUUUAAAGAAAGCGUAAUAGCUCACUGGUCGAGUCGGCCUGCGCGGAAGAUGUAACGGGGCUAAACCAUGCACCGAAGCUGCGGCAGCGACACUGUGUGUUGUUGGGUAGGGGAGCGUUCUGUAAGCCUGUGAAGGUGUACUGUGAGGUAUGCUGGAGGUAUCAGAAGUGCGAAUGCUGACAUAAGUAACGAUAAAGCGGGUGAAAAGCCCGCUCGCCGGAAGACCAAGGGUUCCUGUCCAACGUUAAUCGGGGCAGGGUGAGUCGACCCCUAAGGCGAGGCCGAAAGGCGUAGUCGAUGGGAAACAGGUUAAUAUUCCUGUACUUGGUGUUACUGCGAAGGGGGGACGGAGAAGGCUAUGUUGGCCGGGCGACGGUUGUCCCGGUUUAAGCGUGUAGGCUGGUUUUCCAGGCAAAUCCGGAAAAUCAAGGCUGAGGCGUGAUGACGAGGCACUACGGUGCUGAAGCAACAAAUGCCCUGCUUCCAGGAAAAGCCUCUAAGCAUCAGGUAACAUCAAAUCGUACCCCAAACCGACACAGGUGGUCAGGUAGAGAAUACCAAGGCGCUUGAGAGAACUCGGGUGAAGGAACUAGGCAAAAUGGUGCCGUAACUUCGGGAGAAGGCACGCUGAUAUGUAGGUGAAGCGACUUGCUCGUGGAGCUGAAAUCAGUCGAAGAUACCAGCUGGCUGCAACUGUUUAUUAAAAACACAGCACUGUGCAAACACGAAAGUGGACGUAUACGGUGUGACGCCUGCCCGGUGCCGGAAGGUUAAUUGAUGGGGUUAGCGCAAGCGAAGCUCUUGAUCGAAGCCCCGGUAAACGGCGGCCGUAACUAUAACGGUCCUAAGGUAGCGAAAUUCCUUGUCGGGUAAGUUCCGACCUGCACGAAUGGCGUAAUGAUGGCCAGGCUGUCUCCACCCGAGACUCAGUGAAAUUGAACUCGCUGUGAAGAUGCAGUGUACCCGCGGCAAGACGGAAAGACCCCGUGAACCUUUACUAUAGCUUGACACUGAACAUUGAGCCUUGAUGUGUAGGAUAGGUGGGAGGCUUUGAAGUGUGGACGCCAGUCUGCAUGGAGCCGACCUUGAAAUACCACCCUUUAAUGUUUGAUGUUCUAACGUUGACCCGUGAUCCGGGUUGCGGACAGUGUCUGGUGGGUAGUUUGACUGGGGCGGUCUCCUCCUAAAGAGUAACGGAGGAGCACGAAGGUUGGCUAAUCCUGGUCGGACAUCAGGAGGUUAGUGCAAUGGCAUAAGCCAGCUUGACUGCGAGCGUGACGGCGCGAGCAGGUGCGAAAGCAGGUCAUAGUGAUCCGGUGGUUCUGAAUGGAAGGGCCAUCGCUCAACGGAUAAAAGGUACUCCGGGGAUAACAGGCUGAUACCGCCCAAGAGUUCAUAUCGACGGCGGUGUUUGGCACCUCGAUGUCGGCUCAUCACAUCCUGGGGCUGAAGUAGGUCCCAAGGGUAUGGCUGUUCGCCAUUUAAAGUGGUACGCGAGCUGGGUUUAGAACGUCGUGAGACAGUUCGGUCCCUAUCUGCCGUGGGCGCUGGAGAAUUGAGGGGGGCUGCUCCUAGUACGAGAGGACCGGAGUGGACGCAUCACUGGUGUUCGGGUUGUCAUGCCAAUGGCACUGCCCGGUAGCUAAAUGCGGAAGAGAUAAGUGCUGAAAGCAUCUAAGCACGAAACUUGCCCCGAGAUGAGUUCUCCCUGACUCCUUGAGAGUCCUGAAGGAACGUUGAAGACGACGACGUUGAUAGGCCGGGUGUGUAAGCGCAGCGAUGCGUUGAGCUAACCGGUACUAAUGAACCGUGAGGCUUAACCUUACAACGCCGAAGCUGUU